rnacentral:piRNA from 1 species
UUAAAGGAAUGCAACAUUAGGAAGGCUG